AUGUUUUUUUGUUCAAAUGCUAGAUUUGGAGGUGCGAACGAGCGAAAACAAUUGCAAAUGGUGCUACAUUUUAUACAGGAAGUAAAUUUGUAUAAGCAGCAAGCAAGUAUCUACAGCAGAAAUACACAUUUUUGCAUCUCAAAGUCGAUGGAAUACUGUUUGACACCAAAGGAGGUAAGCAUGUACAGGCCCGAACGAUCAUACCUUCUUGUCCAUCCGGGGACAUCAGCACCUUCUUUUCCUGUAGAUGGCUGCGGAUCGACCGGUGCCAAGCUCAGUGCUUCUCCAGCGGGCUUCAAAGCCAACUCCAUUAUGAUAGAUGGGUCGCCAACAUCCCCCAUGCUCGAUUCAGUGGUUGACUCAGUCUGUGCAGAAGUAGGCUCACCGGUCGUGAUCAGAUGGUCGGAUCCAAGAUCCGGCAGGGGGAACUUGCGCAACAAAAACGUGGAUCCGUUGCUGGACUACGGCGUUAACGACACAGGAGCAUCUCCGAUACGUAUACGCCAACAGUACAGCCAAGGCAGUUAA
rnacentral:rRNA from 1 species